GAUGAACGCUGGCGGCGUGCCUAAUACAUGCAAGUCGAGCGAACGGACGAGAAGCUUGCUUCUCUGAUGUUAGCGGCGGACGGGUGAGUAACACGUGGAUAACCUACCUAUAAGACUGGGAUAACUUCGGGAAACCGGAGCUAAUACCGGAUAAUAUUUUGAACCGCAUGGUUCAAAAGUGAAAGACGGUCUUGCUGUCACUUAUAGAUGGAUCCGCGCUGCAUUAGCUAGUUGGUAAGGUAACGGCUUACCAAGGCAACGAUGCAUAGCCGACCUGAGAGCGUGAUCGGCCACACUGGAUCUGAGACACGGUCCAGACUCCUACGGGAGGCAGCAGUAGGGAAUCUUACGCAAUGGGCGAAAGCCUGACGGAGCAACGCCGCGUGAGUGAUGAAGGUCUUCGGAUCGUAAAACUCUGUUAUUAGGGAAGUACAUAUGUGUAAGUAACUGUGCACAUCUUGACGGUACCGAAUCAGAAAGCCACGGCUAACUCCGUG
rnacentral:rRNA from 1 species